UGAAACAAAUAAUAAUAAAUAGAUCAUUCUAAGAUAAUAAUUGUGGUUGGUAAUGCUAAAAUAAUAACAAUUGUGUAGUUCUUCAUCUUCAAAUCCUUCUCAAUAUUUAUAUAACUAGUGGUCAAGUGUAUACAAAAUGCCUUCUCCAUAUCUAUGAAAUGAUAUAACAUAACAUUUUCUCAAUUCUUUUAUCCUCUUUCAAUUCACCAAGAACCAUAUAAUCAACUUCUAUUAUCUUCUUUCUCGUCCAUUGUUUCUAAACGUACAAAAUAAAAUACUAUUUCAUUUUAUGCAUUAUUUCUCCUCUUCUAAUUCACUAAAGAGGCUUAUCAUUGAUUCUACUUUUUUUUCCCUCAUUUGUUGUUUCCAAAACCUUGCUUGAUCCAGUAAGUAAGAAGAAAAUUCACAAACAAGGGAAAGGAAACUUGCAGGGAGAAUGAAAAACAAAGAUGUGCAGCAAUCCAGUGGAGAAAUGCACUACUGCCAAGGUGACACUUUUGCAGCUUAAUAUGCACAGCAUGGACUAAUCUAUCUGGUAUAAUUCAGGACUUAAUUUUCAGAACUACCAUUGCAUUUAUUUAUAGCAUUAAAA
rnacentral:misc_RNA from 1 species